rnacentral:rRNA from 1 species
GGGACAAAUCACAAAGUGCAGAUGAGAGGAGGGGAACAAAAUCCCUAGGCGCUGGAGGGAUCGAUCGGGCAUGGCUACUCAUCUCUCUCCCUCGCACCUCCUUCUCGACCUCCGGCCGCCGCCACGGCCAGGCCGGCGUGGUGGUGCGCCUCCGCCACCCAUCCAUCCACGAGCAUACCCACCUCCAGCACCACACCACCAUAUCCACUCCACCAGUAGCGCCACCACCACCAGCUCGCGCGCACGACCAGCCAAGCACCUGCGCCGCCAUCUCCCCGCGCCGCCUAGUACCUUCAGCACCACCAGCGCCUCCACCGCGCCUUCACCCCACGCUCGCGCGCCCGACCAGGAGAGGCGUCUGGUGCCCCGCGCGAUUCUCCUUGCCUCGCUGCUUCUCUUCUUCCUCCUUCCCUUGCCUCGCUGCUUCUCUUCUUCCUCCUUCCCUUGCCUCGCUGCUUCUCUUCUUCCUCCUUCCCUUGCCUCGCUGCUUCUCCCACGCCCCUGCCGUUGUUCAUCUCUCUGCUCCUCCUCCUUUGCUUCCCCUAACGCUGCUGCUGCUGCUCUUCUUCUCAGCCCCACGCUGCUGCUCCAUCUCUUCCACUUCCUCCACUUCCCUCCUUCUCUGAACUCGAAGCUUCUAGCUGCUGCUUCUUCCUUGUCCCCUGCUCUGCUCCUAAUCUGAACCAUAAAUUGCUGCUACUCCCAUUCAUUCUCUAAAUUUCUGUAGACUUGUACAGUGCCUUGUAAUACCAUAUUCGUAUUUGUGUGUGUGUGUGUGUGUGUGAAAUAUAUUAAUUAUGUACUGCACUUGCUACUGAUUAGUGUCCAGUUUACUAUAGACUGUUGCUCAAGUUCCUGUGAUAUAUAUCAUGUUUGAUAGUUUAGUCUUCUAGUUAUUGUUGCACUGAUUUAUGUCAAGGAGAUUUGGCCAGUGUGAUGUGAGUCCAGUACAUGUGCUUUAUAAUCCUGUUCGUAACCGGUGUUCAUUUUGUAGUCCUAGUGAUAUAUCUUGUACCUUGUGCUAGCUACGAACCUGUGAUAUAUAUGUGUGUGUUAUGUUCAUGUCCUUUUACUUCUCUUGUCAUUGCUGAUAGCUUUUGUUAGUAUCUUAAUUUCUCAAGCAUUACGAAAAUACCAAAAAGAUUGUUGAAGAUAAUUUGAACCUUCCUUGCUACUGUGUUAUUUUCUUUAUCGUCAACUUUGGUUAGUUUAGGUCUAUAUUUCCUUGCAAUCAUCAUCUAAAUUCUAUUACCUAGCUUUAGCCGAG